rnacentral:misc_RNA from 1 species
UGCAGCAAUUAGCCUGGAGUGGUCA